rnacentral:rRNA from 1 species
AUGGAGAGUUUGAUUCUGGCUCAGAACGAACGCUGGCGGCGUGGAUAAGACAUGCAAGUCGAACGAGAGAAUUGCUAGCUUGCUAAUAAUUCUCUAGUGGCGCACGGGUGAGUAACACGUGAGUAACCUGCCCCCGAGAGCGGGAUAGCCCUGGGAAACUGGGAUUAAUACCGCAUAGUAUCGAAAGAUUAAAGCAGCAAUGCGCUUGGGGAUGGGCUCGCGGCCUAUUAGUUAGUUGGUGAGGUAACGGCUCACCAAGGCGAUGACGGGUAGCCGGUCUGAGAGGAUGUCCGGCCACACUGGAACUGAGACACGGUCCAGACACCUACGGGUGGCAGCAGUCGAGAAUCAUUCACAAUGGGGGAAACCCUGAUGGUGCGACGCCGCGUGGGGGAAUGAAGGUCUUCGGAUUGUAAACCCCUGUCAUGUGGGAGCAAAUUAAAAAGAUAGUACCACAAGAGGAAGAGACGGCUAACUCUGUGCCAGCAGCCGCGGUAAUACAGAGGUCUCAAGCGUUGUUCGGAAUCACUGGGCGUAAAGCGUGCGUAGGCUGUUUCGUAAGUCGUGUGUGAAAGGCGCGGGCUCAACCCGCGGACGGCACAUGAUACUGCGAGACUAGAGUAAUGGAGGGGGAACCGGAAUUCUCGGUGUAGCAGUGAAAUGCGUAGAUAUCGAGAGGAACACUCGUGGCGAAGGCGGGUUCCUGGACAUUAACUGACGCUGAGGCACGAAGGCCAGGGGAGCGAAAGGGAUUAGAUACCCCUGUAGUCCUGGCAGUAAACGGUGCACGCUUGGUGUGCGGGGAAUCGACCCCCUGCGUGCCGGAGCUAACGCGUUAAGCGUGCCGCCUGGGGAGUACGGUCGCAAGAUUAAAACUCAAAGAAAUUGACGGGGACCCGCACAAGCGGUGGAGUAUGUGGCUUAAUUCGAUGCAACGCGAAGAACCUUACCUGGGCUUGACAUGUAAUGAACAACAUGUGAAAGCAUGCGACUCUUCGGAGGCGUUACACAGGUGCUGCAUGGCCGUCGUCAGCUCGUGUCGUGAGAUGUUUGGUUAAGUCCAGCAACGAGCGCAACCCCUGUUGCCAGUUACCAGCACGUGAAGGUGGGGACUCUGGCGAGACUGCCCAGAUCAACUGGGAGGAAGGUGGGGACGACGUCAGGUCAGUAUGGCCCUUAUGCCCAGGGCUGCACACGUACUACAAUGCCCAGUACAGAGGGGGCCGAAGCCGCGAGGCGGAGGAAAUCCUAAAAACUGGGCCCAGUUCGGACUGUAGGCUGCAACCCGCCUACACGAAGCCGGAAUCGCUAGUAAUGGCGCAUCAGCUACGGCGCCGUGAAUACGUUCCCGGGUCUUGUACACACCGCCCGUCACAUCAUGGAAGCCGGUCGCACCCGAAGUAUCUGAAGCCAACCGCAAGGAGGCAGGGUCCUAAGGUGAGACUGGUAACUGGGAUGAAGUCGUAACAAGGUAGCCGUAGGGGAACCUGCGGCUGGAUCACCUCCUUUCUAUGGA